GUAGGUGGCAAGCGUUGUCCGGAAUUAUUGGGCGUAAAGCGCGCGCAGGUGGUUCUUUAAGUCUGAUGUGAAAGCCCCCGGCUCAACCGGGGAGGGUCAUUGGAAACUGGGGAACUUGAGUGCAGGAGAGGAAAGUGGAAUUCCACGUGUAGCGGUGAAAUGCGCAGAUAUGCGGAGGAACACCAGUGGCGAAGGCGACUUUCUGGCCUGUAACUGACACUGAGGCGCGAAAGCGUGGGGAGCAAACAGGGAUUAGAUACCCUGGUAGUCCACGCCGUAAACGAUGAGUGCUAAGUGUUGGGGGGGUUUCCCGCCCCUCAGUGCUGCAGCUAACGCAUUAAGCACUCCGCCUGGGGAGUACGGUCGCAAGACUG
rnacentral:rRNA from 1 species